rnacentral:rRNA from 1 species
AGCUUGCUACUGAUCUUAGCGGCGGACGGGUGAGUAAUGCUUAGGAAUCUGCCUAUUAGUGGGGGACAACAUUUCGAAAGGAAUGCUAAUACCGCAUACGUCCUACGGGAGAAAGCAGGGGAUCUUCGGACCUUGCGCUAAUAGAUGAGCCUAAGUCGGAUUAGCUAGUUGGUGGGGUAAAGGCCUACCAAGGCGACGAUCUGUAGCGGGUCUGAGAGGAUGAUCCGCCACACUGGGACUGAGACACGGCCCAGACUCCUACGGGAGGCAGCAGUGGGGAAUAUUGGACAAUGGGCGCAAGCCUGAUCCAGCCAUGCCGCGUGUGUGAAGAAGGCCUUAUGGUUGUAAAGCACUUUAAGCGAGGAGGAGGCUACUUUAGUUAAUACCUAGAGAUAGUGGACGUUACUCGCAGAAUAAGCACCGGCUAACUCUGUGCCAGCAGCCGCGGUAAUACAGAGGGUGCAAGCGUUAAUCGGAUUUACUGGGCGUAAAGCGCGCGUAGGCGGCUAAUUAAGUCAAAUGUGAAAUCCCCGAGCUUAACUUGGGAAUUGCAUUCGAUACUGGUUAGCUAGAGUGUGGGAGAGGAUGGUAGAAUUCCAGGUGUAGCGGUGAAAUGCGUAGAGAUCUGGAGGAAUACCGAUGGCGAAGGCAGCCAUCUGGCCUAACACUGACGCUGAGGUGCGAAAGCAUGGGGAGCAAACAGGAUUAGAUACCCUGGUAGUCCAUGCCGUAAACGAUGUCUACUAGCCGUUGGGGCCUUUGAGGCUUUA